rnacentral:rRNA from 1 species
CCUACGGGUGGCAGCAGUGAGGAAUAUUGCUCAAUGGGGGGAACCCUGAUCCAGCAACGCCGCGUGGGUGAAGAAGUACUUCGGUAUGUAAAGCCCUGUCAGCAGGGGAGAAAAUGACGGUACCUGACCAAGAAGCCACGGCUAACUACGUGCCAGCAGCCGCGGUAAUACGUAGGGGGCAAGCGUUAUCCGGAUGUACUGGGUGUAAAGGGAGCGUAGGCGGCAUGGCAAGUCUGGAGUGAAAGCCUGUGGCUCAACCGCGGGACUGCAUUGGAAACUGUGUGGCUGGAGUGCAGGAGGGGUGAGCGGAAUUCGUGGUGUAGCGGUGAAAUGCGUAGAUAUUAGGAGGAACACCGGUGGCGAAGGCGGCUUACUGGACUGUAACUGACGUUGAGGCUCGAAGGCGUGGGGAGCAAACAGGAUUAGAUACCCCAGUAGUC